rnacentral:rRNA from 1 species
CACGUAGGGCGCAAGCGUUGUCCGGAAUUAUUGGGCGUAAAGGGCUCGUAGGUGGCCAACUAAGUCAGACGUGAAAUCCCUCGGCUUAACCGGGGAACUGCGUCUGAUACUGGAUGGCUUGAGUUCGGGAGAGGGAUGCGGAAUUCCAGGUGUAGCGGUGAAAUGCGUAGAUAUCUGGAGGAACACCGGUGGCGAAGGCGGCAUCCUGGACCGAUACUGACGCUGAGGAGCGAAAGCCAGGGGAGCAAACGGG